GACGAACGCUGGCGGCGUGCUUAACACAUGCAAGUCGAGCGGCGCGGCGAACGGGUGAGUAACGCGGGAGUAACUGCCCCCCUCUCUGGGAUAACAGUUGGAAACGGAUGCUAAUACCGGAUAGUGGGGGAUGACUCGCGUACAAUCAGCUUGUGGGUUGGGUAGUGGCCUACCAAGGCGACGACGGGUAGCCGGCCUGAGAGGGCGACAGGCCACAUUGGGCUGGGAUACGGCCCAAACGCCUACGGGAGGCAGCAGUGGGGAAUAGUGCACAAUGGGGGGAACCCUGAUGCAGCAACGCCGCGGGCGGGAUGACGGCCUUCGGGUUGUAACCCGCUUUCAGCCAUGACGCGGUAGUGGCAGAAGAAGCACCGGCUAACUACGUGCCAGCAGCCGCGGUAAUAC
rnacentral:rRNA from 1 species